UUGGGAAAAUUCGGCCAAAUCCAAAGGGUGGAUUUUUGGGUUCUUGUUUGACUUGUUAAAAGUGUUUUAAAGUGACUUUUGGAACCCCUAAGUGCCCUAGGAUGUUAGCCCCAUUUUGAGUGAUGAAAAUUUGAGUUAUUGAGUGAAAAUGUUCAUGGAGCUCUUAUGGGUUUUCAUGGAUGUUCUUCAUUGUUCUUGAUGUUCUUGCCAAGAACAUAAAGUUUGGUGUUUUGAUUCAAAGUUUUGGUUAAUUUCAUAAAGUCUUUGUUUUGUGCUUUAUCAAAUGUUUAAUGUGAUUGAAAUUGUGUAAGGUGAUAGAAAUGUUGAUGGAUGUGUAAGAAGUACUUCUCUUACACACACACCAACUUAUUUCCACUUGCAUGGUUCCACUUGCAAGGCUUUAUGAUUUUGUUGAAAAAAUUUCCAAAUUGUUGUGGACUUAUCUUUUCUCUAUUUUCUCCCUAAAACCGGCCACCCUAUUAAAAUAGGGUAUUUUUGGGGCUUUUAUGCAAUUACAUAAAGUUUGAUACUUUUGUGUAUUUGUAUUUUGACCCGAAAGUUUACGUUUUGACGUUAAGGCCUAAAAACGCUAAAGGACAAAUUGUUUUGCUCCUUUAAUGAAGUUUUUAUAUUUAUUGAAAUUUUUGGGUUCUAGUUGUAAUUACAUGAAGUUGUGGACUUUUGUGUUUUUACAAAGUGACCCCAAAAGUUUGUGUUUUUGCAAUAUGGCCCAAAAGUUGAGGUUAUUGCAUUUUGGCCCAAAUUACGUUGAGAACAAAAUUGUUUUGUCUCUUUAAAUGAGAAUUGGAUUUUCAUUUCAUUUAGCUCCAUUUAAAUCAAUUUUAUGGAUACAAAAACCAAAUGAAAAUGUUGCAUUCAAUUUAAUUAGUUAAAGCGUUAAUUAAUUAAAGGGUGAUUAUGAACCUAAGCCUACGAUAAUUGAGCUAUAUAAAAGGCCGUUUCAAAUUUGUUUGAACCAUGGGAAUGUGUAGAUUAGAUUUUGGUUGUAAUUUGAUUUGAUCAAAUGUUGUAAAAGAGCUUAAGCUCUUCUUUACUUUAAAGUAAUUUGAAUCAUUCAAAUGUUGUAAAGAGCAUAAGCUCAUCUUUACUUUGAAAUACUUCUUUCUUGCUUUAUUUGAUAUGCAUGAAAUUGAAGUAGUUGGGUCCAACGCCCCUAAGACUACACGCCUUAAUGUGAUUAAACGCGUAACUAAAAUCAAUCACCAUCCCUAGACCGAGAUUCAACACUAGGCUCGUGUUGAAUCUAAUCAAAGGUUCAUAGUCAUCCUAAGGCCCUAAGGCAACUAUAUA
rnacentral:lncRNA from 1 species